UACGGAGGGUGCAAGCGUUAUCCGGAAUUACUGGGUUUAAAGGGUACGUAGGUGGUUAGUUAAGUCAUCUAGUGAAAGACCGUUGCUCAACGACGGUACUGCUAAUGAAACUGGCUGACUUGAAACAGGUUAGGGUUUGCGGAAUGCGUCAUGUAGCGGUGAAAUGCAUAGAUAUGACGUAGAACACCGAAAGCGAAGGCAGCGAGCUGAGCCUUGUUUGACACUGAGGUACGAAAGUGUGGGUAGCGAACAGG
rnacentral:rRNA from 1 species